AGUGGCUUUUCUUGCGAAACACUGAAGAGGCCGAACUACAAACUCGUGGGAAUACUGUCUGAAAUAAAUGUGUCUGGGCACAUUGGUAUUGCCGGAUAACACGAGCAGAUUUUCAAACAGAUCCAAAUGCAUGUGGACCUCAGCGCACUCCUGAAAACUACCAAUCUGCAGUAGACAUUUUACAGUCUGAGGGACAAAACGUUGAAGAAAUGGAUGAUUCAGAGCUAAACAUUUCAAACAUUAGCAAUGCCAUUGAUGCUGUAUUACCUGAACUCCCAAUCGCAACUAAAAAUCUCUUGAGGACACCUUAAAAUCACUUGGAGUGGAGACCCCAGAAGAUUUCAGAUUUCUUCAGGAAUCGGAUCUGGGAGCUGUACUGAGGCCCAUUCAAGCCAGGAAAUUUAUUUCUGUUCUAAAGGAGACCACACAAAUUUCUGAAACCCCAGAGCAACCAGUCAGUUCGUCUCCAGGAUCUUUUCUGUCCCAGAGUUCUUCAUACUCCUCUCCCAGCACCUCCCCUUCUAUUGUGAACUGGGUGGACAGCUUUGAAGUCCCAUGGAAUAAGUUUCCUGAGGAAUUAAUGCAGGCACUUGAGAGACAGAAAAGGCCAAGUCCUCGGUUGCGUAGGGAAAUGGUUGCUGUGCAAUGAUGAAAGUUUGUGCUUGUCCAAGUAGGAAGAAUUUAACAGAGGUCGCCAAAAGGAUUGUUGCCAAAUAUCCAAAGUCUUUACAAGAUGUGAUUGAAGAGAGUGUGAUUGGUCCUGGAUACUACUCCUUGGUCAAACAAUUUCAAGCCAGGGUCGAAAAUGCAAGAAGGACCAGCACACCAAAAAUAAAAAAGCGCAUUCAUGAU